UACGAAGGGGGCUAGCGUUGUUCGGAAUUACUGGGCGUAAAGCGCACGUAGGCGGGUUGUUAAGUCAGGGGUGAAAUCCUGGAGCUCAACUCCAGAACUGCCUUCGAUACUGGCGAUCUUGAGUUCGGGAGAGGUGAGUGGAACUGCGAGUGUAGAGGUGAAAUUCGUAGAUAUUCGCAAGAACACCAGUGGCGAAGGCGGCUCACUGGCCCGAUACUGACGCUGAGGUGCGAAAGCGUGGGGAGCAAACAGG
rnacentral:rRNA from 1 species